AAGUCGUAACAAGGUUUCCGUAGGUGAACCUGCGGAAGGAUCAUUAUCAUAACGUAUCCACGUAUAAACCAACUUUAAAUUGAUGUGAAACGUAACUGUUUUAACACCUCGAGAUAAUCAGAUGAUUGCUAUACUUUACAUUGUUUGCGUGAUUAAAGCAAAAACGGUUUAGUAUGGACCUGUGCCUGUAACAAGGUGCUAGCGCUGAUUAUUUGGAGUGUAAAAAUUUAAUCAACUAUUAACCCAUUGAACCGAAUUACUAUAUUCUUAACUGAGUUUAGUUAUUCAUUUUAAUUUCUAUUGUGUGAACUGAAUUGUCUACUUACUUGACACCGUCAUUGGUGGAGAGAAGUCGAUUAUAUUUACGAAACAUUAUAAAUUUCUAUGAACAACUCUUAGCAACGGAUAUCUUGGUUCUC
rnacentral:misc_RNA from 1 species